GACGAACGCUGGCGGCGUGCCUAAUACAUGCAAGUUGAGCGCUGAAGGUUGGUACUUGUACCAACUGGAUGAGCAGCGAACGGGUGAGUAACGCGUGGGGAAUCUGCCUUUGAGCGGGGGACAACAUUUGGAAACAAAUGCUAAUACCGCAUAAAAACUUUAAACACAAGUUUUAAGUUUGAAAGAUGCAAUUGCAUCACUCAAAGAUGAUCCCGCGUUGUAUUAGCUAGUUGGUGAGGUAAAGGCUCACCAAGGCGAUGAUACAUAGCCGACCUGAGAGGGUGAUCGGCCACAUUGGGACUGAGACACGGCCCAAACUCCUACGGGAGGCAGCAGUAGGGAAUCUUCGGCAAUGGACGAAAGUCUGACCGAGCAACGCCGCGUGAGUGAAGAAGGUUUUCGGAUCGUAAAACUCUGUUGGUAGAGAAGAACGUUGGUGAGAGUGGAAAGCUCAUCAAGUGACGGUAACUACCCAGAAAGGGACGGCUAACUACGUG
rnacentral:rRNA from 1 species